rnacentral:rRNA from 1 species
GUUAGGAAUAUUGGACAAUGGGCGCAAGCCUGAUCCAGCCAUGCCGCGUGAGUGAUGAAGGCCUUCGGGUUGUAAAGCUCUUUAACCGAUGAUUAUAAUGACUGUAGUCGGAAAAUAAGCCCCGGCUAACUUCGUGCCAGCAGCCGCGGUAAUACGAAGGGGGCGAGCGUUAUUCGGAAUCACUGGGCGUAAAGCGUGCGUAGGCGGCUUUGCAAGUUGGGAGUGAAAGCCCAGGGCUCAACCCUGGAAUUGCUCUCAAAACUGCAAGGCUCGAAUUCGGGAGAGGAUAGCGGAAUUGUCAGUGUAGCAGUGAAAUGUGUAGAUAUUGACAGGAACACCAGUGGCGUAAGCGGCUAUCUGGACCGAUAUUGACGCUGAGGCACGAAAGCGUGGGGAUCAAACAGGAUUAGAAACCCGUGUAGUCC